GAUGAACGCUAGCUACAGGCUUAACACAUGCAAGUCGAGCGGGGACAUUGCGACAGAAUUGAAGUUUUCGGAUGGAUAGGAAGAUGUAAUGUUCUAGCGGCGGACGGGUGAGUAACGCGUGAGCAACCUGUCCCUUACAGGGGGAUAACACAGCGAAAGUUGUACUAAUACCGCAUAAGACCACAGGAUGACAUCGUCCAGGGGUCAAAGGAGCAAUCCGGUAAGGGGUGGGCUCGCGUCCGAUUAGAUAGUUGGUGAGGUAACGGCCCACCAAGUCGACGAUCGGUAGCCGACCUGAGAGGGUGAUCGGCCACAUUGGGACUGAGACACGGCCCAAACUCC
rnacentral:rRNA from 1 species